UGUUGUUUGCUUUUGAAAUAGAAAAUGUGCUAUUACUAUUGUAGGGCCAUAGAUUUUUCUUGAUUUAAGCAGAAAUUUUCUGAAAUGUACUUUUGGUUUCGGGUUUGUCUUCCGUAAGACUGCGAACCAGCGAGGGUGCCUAGUAUUCUAGUCACUUGAUUGUGACCAGAAGUAGAUCGUACACAGUUAAAUUGGUCAGUGCAAAUGAUGUUGCAGAAUUAAGUGGUUCUCAAAGUGGUUAAGGCAUUUCAACAAGAAUGUAUUAUGAAUUCAGAAAAAAAACGGAGCUUCAUGUUAUUGGAACAAUUAGACAUUCUAGUUACUAUGAGUGUUAAUCAUGAAAUAUAUGUUUACAAAGCUGUAAUUCAUAAUACAUGAGCUUUUGUGUGAUCACAAAACAGGUACAUUGUAUUUUUACUGGAGUGAGUUGUCAUCUAUACUGCGCCAAAGGAUGACGGUGAUCAUGACGUUAGUUUGCGUGGAUUCAAAUUUUUACCAUAUCCAUACUUACAGGAUAUCUGUUUGUCAUCAACCGAUGCUUUCAAGUGGUGUCUGAAACUUGCAAUUUCUAUUUACACAGACAAACUAACAGUAAACUAUUCAUAAGAACAAUUAUUGCUACUUAAAUCAUAUUUUUGAAGUAUGAUUACUGUAUUGAGAUAUUACAUGCAUGUCACAGCUUUCAUUUGUUAACAUGCCGUUCAUAUUUGAAUCUUUAUGAAAUUAUUUUCAGCAAAUAACCACUGAUUGGUAAAGCUUACAUUACUAACAUAUGGUUAUCAUUGACAGAAAUCUCUGAAUGACGGUGGAAUCUUAGGCAGGACUGUUGACAAUUUUGAAAAAAUCAUAUGUUACAAUUUAGCAUUGCUUUUAAUGCAAGUUAAUUCAUUGCCAUUUAUGUAAUGUUAUUUUUGCUAAUGAUUAAAAAUUGCUAUUGCUACAUGUAACCAACUUUACUUAAUUUCAGUACAUGUAUACACUUUAAAUUUACUUGUGCAGUACAAAAUAAAUGCAUCUGGUUAUCGUUACUACAAAAGCUUGAAUAAAUUAUUUCGAAUGUUA